rnacentral:rRNA from 1 species
AGUGAACGCUGGCGGUAGGCCUAACACAUGCAAGUCGAACGGCAGCACAGUAAGAGCUUGCUCUUACGGGUGGCGAGUGGCGGACGGGUGAGGAAUACAUCGGAAUCUACUUUUUCGUGGGGGAUAACGUAGGGAAACUUACGCUAAUACCGCAUACGACCUACGGGUGAAAGCAGGGGAUCUUCGGACCUUGCGCGAUUGAAUGAGCCGAUGUCGGAUUAGCUAGUUGGCGGGGUAAAGGCCCACCAAGGCGACGAUCCGUAGCUGGUCUGAGAGGAUGAUCAGCCACACUGGAACUGAGACAUGGUCCAGACUCCUACGGGAGGCAGCAGUGGGGAAUAUUGGACAAUGGGCGCAAGCCUGAUCCAGCCAUACCGCGUGGGUAAAGAAGGCCUUCGGGUUGUAAAGCCCUUUUGUUGGGAAAGAAAAGCAGCAGGUUAAUACCCCGCUGUUCUGACGGUACCCAAAGAAUAAGCACCGGCUAACUUCGUG